AAACUCCCUCGCCAAGACGGUUCCCCCCGAAGGGGAUUAAAAGGGAAUCCGGUUGGCGUUUUUGUGCUGUUCGCAUGAUCGUCUGUAAGCCGGAGCUGCCCCCGCAACUGUAAUCGGCGAGUUGAGGUUCAAUCCGUGCCACUGGACGCGAGUCCGGGAAGGCCGAACCGAAACGGCGACCCGAAAGCCAGGAGACCUGCCCUCGAAACCUUUAUCAAC
rnacentral:ncRNA from 17 species